GGAAGGGUAGGUCAAUUGGUUAGACUGGUGUAGGAAAAAUGUGACUUGUCAAAGUCGCUAACAGCAAUUUAUAUUCCCCGCUAUAGGACACAGAUAUGGGUUCGAUUCCCAUUCCUUCCA
rnacentral:tRNA from 1 species